GGCUCUGGAGAGCUCACUGGCUCCUUCCCAUGAUGCAGACGCGGAGGGAAGGGCUGGCUGCGAUUCUGGAAGAGAGCUCUCACCAAAACAUACCCACACUGGUGCCCUGAUCUUGGACUUCCCAACCUCUGAACUACAAACAGGGGCCUGCAGGCCUGGCUCCUCUCUGAAGCACAGUGUCAGCUCCAGCGAGACAAUGUGUCACAGAGACUAAGGUGUGUGCAGUCAGGAGGAUGAUUGGAGAAGGAACCUCCUCCUGGAAAGAAGUAAAAAAAUAUGUCUAUAAUACGACCAGCCACCAAAGCAGGCAUCGAUCUGAGAUGCUGGCCAGAGAGGGUGAAUUCAGGUGUGGGGCCCCACUGGAUAUGACUGAAGACCAGCCACCAGAGGAAAUUUAAGCAGAGGAGAGGAGAGAACCUGACUUAAGGGCUGGCUCUGUGGCUGCUUUCAGAGAAAUCUCCGCUGUCUCCUAACCUGCUUCGUCCUCAGUUUCCUCAUCAUGGACAUAAUGACAGCUUCUACCUCAGGUGUCCUGAGGCAACACAUCAUGUGCCAUCAAAAUACCAGUACCUUGUGCAGGAUGAUUGUGUUGAAACAAUUCUGGCAGUUUCGCAUGUGAAACAUAUCUUGUGAGUCUUGGUUCCCCGGUAGGCAAGCUGCUGAGUCAAGCUGUUUGUCAAGGUCAAAGGAUACUGCCAUACAGGAGGCAGGUAGAGGAGGAGGCAAAAGUCACUUCUCCCAGAAGCUAUAAAUCAAAAGGUUACUUGAAACUACUGAAUCAAAAUCUCCUAUUGAGGGUGCCUCCUGAGUCUCUAUCACCCUACAGUCCCCAGGACAACUGGACAUGAGAAAGGCAUUAUUACCACACUCAACAAAUAGCCCCAACCUCAGGAUACUGAAGAUGGUGACUCUGCUGAUGUUUUGCCUCCAGGAAGAUCACAUGCUACCAGUUGAAAGAACUUAAGGAGAUCUCAGUCAACCCUUCCAGGAAAGUGCACAGCUUGCCCUUCUACUCUGAGAUGGUCUCUGGCCAAGAUCUAAUCACAAAAAGCAUUUCAGAGCAAAAACUAAAUCAUUUAAGAAAUCCUAGGCAUGUUAGGCACAAAUGGAGGGUAAUUGUGAAGAGAGUUAUCCAAGAAAGUGAUGUUCCAUAGCCCUGUUCCUGGUACUUUUUUAUUUAUUUUUUCCAAAUUGCAGGUCACAAAUCAUUAGUGGGUCACAAAAUAUAUUAAAUUGGCUGUAAUGAGCAUUUCUUUAAAAAGUAAGUGAAAAAGAUGAUAAUAGAGUGGAAUGGGAUAAAAUAGAAUAGAAUACAAUAGAAUAGAAUAGGAUAGGGGAGUUCCCGUCACAGGGCAUCGGAAAUAAAUCCCCCUAGGAAACAUGAGGUUGUGGGUUCCAACCCUGGCCUUGCUCAGUGGGUUAAGGAUCCUGCGUUGCUGUGGCUGUGGUGUAGCUGCAAUUUGACCCCUAGCCUGGGAACCUCCAUAUGCCACAGGUGCAGCUCUAAAAAGCAAAAAAAAAAAAGGAUAGGAUAGGAAACGCAGAAGGUCACCUUAUGUAGUAAGGGUAAGUAUUAUUUUAGGAACAUUUUUUAUCAGUUGUAUAUUUAUAUAUGUGUGCGCAAGGUCCAAUGUAAAAUGUCUUUUUACUGUCGAAUGAAUCAAACCACGUUGAUACUCAAAAGCUUGGAGUCCAACACACCAGGGUUUUGCCUCCUCACAGCAGCUACUUUCUAAUUAAGUGCCCUUGGGUAAGUUAUUAAAUCUCUUUAAUUUAAUCUCUUCAGCAACCACAACAGAAUUCUGAGCUAUCUCAGGACUCCUUAAUGUCUGUAAAUGAAUAAAUUACUGGGCUCAGAGACUUAGUUUUCUACCUGAGGAUCAGCAGGCCUAGAACCUUGCUUCCGAACUUAGUUUGCAAUGUGGUCUUGCCCAAACUAUGUAACAGUAUUGCACUUUUGUUUUGUUUCAAUUAAAAAAUGUGGGAAAUAAAAAUCAUUUUUUAAAAAUGUAGGUUAUUCAUAGCAACUACCUCAUAGAUCUGCUGUGAAAUUUUAAUUGCCAUCAUAUAUACAAACCACUUAGCACAAUGUCAUGCCACUCCCUCCAAAAUGCCACUUUAGUCUAUUAUUUUGAUUAUUCUGAGCUGAAGGAGAUGGAGCAACAGCAAAUGCAGAGGGGCUCUCUGACCUCCCCUUUUCCUCCUGAAGCAGGACAUAAGAUUUCCCGUGUGAAAGGUGUCCUCUCCGUACCAGGAAGAGGGGAACAUCUUAUCACCGGAGACCGGGUGCUGACUCCAAAAUGGGCCUGCACAAACAAAGCUGCUAAAAUGACCCUUAUCUUCCAGUAGUUUCCCUCCUAGAUUUCCUAGUCACAAUUUACUGCCCCAUGAAGCUUAAACCCCUUUUCCUUUGCCUUGUCAUUCCUUCACAAUUGAUCAUUCUUUGUUAAAAAGAUAUAUAAGCUCUUGGACCUAACUACUUCUUUGGGUCUCCCUUUUUCCUAUGAAGGCUUCUGUGUAUGUGUAAAACUAUUAAAUAAAGUUUGUAUGUUUUUCUUCUGUUAAUCUCUCUUUUGCUAAUUCAUUUCACAGGCCCCAGCUGCAGAAAUGAAGAGGAUAAAGGAAAGUUCUUUUUCAGCCAUUACACCUGAUACAUAGUAAAUGGUCAAUAAAUGGGAUUUGUUCCUGUUGGUGUUAUUCAUAAAAGUAUCCCUUGCCUCCUCUCUUUUCUAUAUGAAAGGAAGGAAAAGCAUGGAGAAAGGGGGCAAAACCUAAGACCAUUCAAUGAUUCAUAGAUCUGCUAAGCAUGAAAGCUUCUCUAGGAAAUUAAAAACAUUUUAAAAAAUCUAAAUAUGUGAGCCAUUAAGAUAUUGUUCUAGUGGAAAUGAAAUACUCCACACAUUCAUACUGCAGUGGAGGCAGAUCUGAUGGUGGCGCUCUGCCUUAUGGAUGGCCUUUAUCACCACAGGUCCUCCCUGAGAGGGAAACUACACCAGGUCUCCAUGGACUAUGACUCAGAUCAGACUGACUCGAGCCUUAGCAUGUGUCCCAUGUUGUGUUAAUUUGGCUGCCUCUUUGCAUCCUGUGGAAAAGUCCACUAAGAAGACAACAUAUUCAAGCACAUGCUUCAAACUGUCUUCUCUCAGCCCAACUGGAAUGUCUUCCUGAUUUAUCAAAUGGGCUUCUUUUCGGUCUUUGAAACUGAAUUAACAGAAUAAGCAAGCAACAUAUAAGUAAGUGACAUUGAAAAUGAAUAGCAGCAAACCAAAUUAUUGAUAUACAAUGCAGAUAGUUUUCUAAUGUUAGUUCACUCUCUGUUAGUUGGGUCAGACAGGCUGGUUCUGCUUCUAUUUCACAAAAGAGGAGGGAGAGCAGUUACCAAAAAUCAAAGACGCAAUGGUUAACAAGAUUAUUUCUCAGCAUCAAAUGUACAUUGGCUAUUAGCAGGUUUAAUACAUCUAUAAGAUAGAAAUGAUCAUUAAUAACCAUUAUUAUUACUGUUACCAAAAUAAACAUUACACCUAGAACAUCACAUACAUAUCAAAACAUGUGACAGAUGCUAUCCAAAAAGAAAAUUUAACUACAACAUCAACCUUUUAAUGCCACUCUGAAGAUGAAUGAAUAAUCCUGGUUAUCUCUGCCCCUCUCCACUACUCCAUAGAAACCUGAGCACAUUUACCCAGUGGAUGAGCAGAGCAGGCAGUUGUGUUUGUCUCCUCACCAAGUACAGAGAUGAACCCUAUGAUUCUCACCUGAGACCAGUGAAACAGGAACUCAGGGCUAGUGUGACAGGCAACUAAGAAUCUGGCUAGUUUAUGACAGGAUGGGAGUGUCCUAGAAAUUCACCAACUGGGAGAAGGCACAGGCAAGAAGGAACUCUGAGAGGAUGGGGAGAUCAGCUAUGAAAUACUCAGGAACAGUCUUUGGGAUUGGGGCUGUACUGAUUCAGAAUUUCUGAAGAGUUUAAACGUCAUAUGAGGUUGGGGAAUGGACAAAAAAUAAGUUUGGGGAUGAAGGCAAGAUCUUUAUAAGACCUACUUUUUUUUUGCUGAAAAAAAAAAAAGCAAAAAUAAAGCCCCCCCCCAAAAAA